rnacentral:lncRNA from 1 species
ACUUUUUUUUUUUUUUUUUUUUUUUUUUUUUUAGUUUUUUAAAUUAAGCCCUCUAUGCUCAGGACCCAUCUACAUCUCUGUGUUUCUGACAGCUGCUCAGCACUUCUCUGUGUCAUGCAGGGAACUUCUUUGACUAUAAAUUUGUAACAUGGGCAUGCCCAUCCCAUCAAGUAAAUAUUGCGGCAUACCAUAUUUUAUUUUGUAAUAUUUUGGAACAAAGUCCUUGCUCCUUGAACGUUUACAGAGUUUGAAAGUUCAUUUCAUCCGUAAAAUUAUUUGCAUCUGGUGCCACUUGGAGACUAGUUAUUAAACACACACACACACACACACACACAUCCUCUUUCAUCUUUACUGGUUUGUUGAAGUUUUUUGUCCUCUUAUUAGGAAGUUUUUAAUAGAAAUUUAAUAGAAAAAAAUUUUAGAAAUUCAAUAGAAUUUUUUGAGAAAAUGAUUACUUUUCAAAUUUAAUAGCAUAUAGUUAUUAAUAAUACACAUUCUAAAUAAUCUUUUUCACAAUUUUGAUAUCAUUGAUUUUUAUGUUUUUUUUUAAAAUUUAAUUUAUUUAUUCAUGUGAGACACAGAGAGAGAGGCAGAGACAUAGGCAGAGAGAGAAGCAGGCUCCCUGUGAGGAGCCCGAUGCAAGACUCGAACCCAGGACCCUGAGAUCACGCCUUGAGCCAAAGGCAGACACUCAAGCACUAAGUCACCCAGGUACUGCUGAUUUUUAUGUUCUUUUUUUUUUUUUUUUUAAAUAUUUUAUUUAUUUAUUUAGGAUAGUCACAGAGAGAGAGAGAGAGAGAGGCAGAGACACAGGCAGAGGGAGAAGCAGGCUCCAUGCACCGGGAGCCUGACGUGGGAUUCGAUCCUGGGUCUCCAGGAUCGCGCCCUGGGCCAAAGGCAGGCGCCAAACCGCUGCGCCACCCAGGGAUCCCGAUUUUUAUGUUCUUGAUGCUUCAUAAUUGUGUUGUUGCUCUUGAUUUUUUAAAAAAUUUGUUUUUUUCUGAUAUAGAAAUGAUAUAUGCCUCUUGAACAAGUGGGCUUGGAUGAUUUUCUUUUUGGGCAAUUAGCCUUGUCCAGAACUGGUUCUAUGCUGAUUUUUAAAAAAGUUACAAGGUUCUCUACUGAUCCGUUUACAGGCUUUUUAGUUUUCUAAAUAUAUUUUUAAAAGUCUUUUUAUAUUUGUCUCUCUCUUCCUCUCACAUGUUUUAGAUUUAUUUUCUUGGGCUCUUUCAACUUCCUGAAUUGGAUAGUUCACAUUCUUUUCUGUUUAAUUAUGAAAUCGCAAUGUUACUAGUUUUUCUUAGUAUUUCUUUGGUCACAGCCCCUAUAUUUUACGAUUCUGUUCUUACUGUUACAAUUUUAAAAAUCAUCUAUACCUGUAGUUUUGGUUUCUUUCUUUGUCUCAAGAGUUAUUUAAGAGAGUCUAAUAUGUCUAGUGUUUUAAAAAAAUUCUUCUGUUACAAAUUUCUGGGUUUAUUAUCUCCUGAUUACAGAGUGUGAGAAUGCCGUCUGCAUUGUUUCUACUUUUUGAAAACUAUCAGGAUUUUCUGUAUGGCCUACUAUAUAAUUAAUUUUUGUUAAUGUCAUAAGGCUUUUGAAAAGAAUAUGUAUUUACUGAAUCUAUUUGAAGCUCCAUGUAUACCUAUUAAAUCAAUCAUAUAAAAACAUCUUGUUUAAAGUUUUCAUUUAAACUCUUGGGGCACCUGGGUGACUCAGUCAGUUAGGUAUCUGGCUCGGGUCAUGGUCCCAGGAUCCUGGGAUCGAGCCCUGCAUUGGGCUCCCUGCUCAGUGGUGAGCCUGCUUCUCACUCUUCUCUGCCCCUCCCCUUUGCUUGUACUCUCUCCCUCUCAAAUAGAUAAAUAAAAUCUUAACAUAAAAUAAAAUAAAAUAAAAUAAAAUAAAAUAAAUUCCAAUUAGUUAACAUAUAGUGGCAUAUUAGUUUCCGAUGUAGAAAACAUCUUUUUAUACUUCGUUUUUCCACAUUUGUGACUAUGUGUGUUUGGUCUAUCUGAGGUGGUGACCAAGUCUGGAGAUAUUGUAUUGGUGACUCCCUUUAUAACGGUGGUUUUGUCUUUCUCCUUGCAUUUCCAACAGCAUUUUUCUCUGUUUUCAUCAUUGGGCUCAGUGAAGUGUCUUUCAAUACUUCUUUAGUUGUGUUCUGUUAGAUGCUGCAAAGGGCAGGUAUGUUACACUGGAGUUUUGCUUCUUCCUUUAUUUAAUUAGUCAGUAUAUAUUCACUGAAGACGCCUUCCAUAGGUCCCCAUUGAACACUGAGUAGGUAUUUAUUGAGAAUUGUUUUAAAUUAUGUGUGCCUCUCCCUGUGAGGAGAUAGUCCUUCCCACCUCAAAGAGAUCACUUUGUGUUACUUGACUUGCUUUGGCUAAUGGAAUGUGAUCAGAAGCACCAUGUGCCAUAUCUGAGCACCAUGCUUUCAAUGCCGUUAUUUAUUUAUUUAUUUAUUUAUUUAUUUAUUUAUUUAUUUAUUUAUUUUUAAUUUAUUUUUUAUUGGUGUUCAAUUUACUAACAUACAGAAUAACCCCCAGUGCCCGUCACCCAUUCACUCCCACCCCCCGCCCUCCUCCCCUUCUACCACCCCUAGUUCGUUUCCCAGAGUUAGCAGUCUUUACGUUCUGUCUCCCUUUCUGAUAUUUCCCACACAUUUCUUCUCCCUUCCCUUCUAUUCCCUUUCACUAUUAUUUAUAUUCCCCAAAUGAAUGAGAACAUAUAAUGUUUGUCCUUCUCCGACUGGCUUACUUCACUCAGCAUAAUACCCUCCAGUUCCAUCCACGUUGAAGCAAAUGGUGGGUAUUUGUCAUUUCUAAUAGCUGAGUAAUAUUCCAUUGUAUACAUGAACCACAUCUUCUUUAUCCAUUCAUCUUUCGUUGGACACCGAGGCUCCUUCCACAGUUUGGCUAUCGUGGCCAUUGCUGCUAUAAACAUCGGGGUGCAGGUGUCCCGGCGUUUCAUUGCAUUUGUAUCUUUGAACUCGGCCAUAGUAACUUCUUGCAAGAUACAUCCACGAAGGCAAAAGAAACAAAAGCAAAAAUGAACUAUUGGGACUUCAUCAAGGUAAGAAGCUUUUGCACAGCAAAGGAUACAGUCAACAAAACUCAAAGACAACCUACAGAAUGGGAGAAGAUAUUUGCAAAUGACAUAUCAGAUAAAGGGCUAGUUUCCAAGAUCUAUAAAGAACUUAUUAAACUCAACAUCAAUGCUGUUAUUUAGACCUCAUUGCUUUAUUUUCUGUUGUAACAAAAUCACAUCCAGAUAAGGGGCUACUCCUCAUCCCAAGUUCCUGGAGGGAGUCAACAUGGAUCACCACAACCAAACUGUCAAGAAUGUGUCAUGUGGGGGCACCUGGGUGGCUCAGUGGUUGAGCAUCUGCCUUUGAUUCAGGGCAUGAUCCCGGUGUCCUGGGAUUAAGUCCUGCACCGGGCUCCCUGCAGGGAGCCUGCUUCUCCCUCUGCCUAUGUCUCUGCCUCUCUGUCUCUCUCUGUGUCUGUCAUGAAUAAAAAUAAAAUCUUAAAAACAAAACAAAAAAUAAUCAUGUGAAUGGGCAAAAAACCUUUGUUGGGGCCUUUGAGAUUUUGGCAUUGUUCGUGAAUUCAGCAUAAUUUAGUGACAAAUAUGUACGUGUCCCAUUUUAUCCAUUUGAGGAUCUAAUUAAGAUCCCAAAGAGACAUGGCCCCUUGUCUUGUGACACUUAGGGGAGGUGGAGAGUACUGUUAAGCCACUGAUUACAUAGGUUUCAGUAAUAGCUGAUAGUUUUCUUCAUAUAGAAUCUCUAUACUUUUUGUUAUGCAAAACAUUUUGCAUUUUUUGUCACUGUGAAUAUAAGUCUUUUCAUUAUGUUAUGCAAUACACAUGGCUGGAUUGUGGGAAAUCUACAGAUUUUUGUGUCUAUAUAUAUUACCUGAGCACUUUAUUAGGCUCUUAUAUUUAUUUAUUUUUAAGGUUUUAUUCAUUUAUUUGACAGAGAGAGAGAGAUCACAAGCAGGGGGAGUAGGAGAGGGAGAGGGAAAAGUAGGCUUCCACUGAGCAGGGAGCUGGACACAGGGCUUGAUCCCAAGACCCUGAGAUCAUGACCUGAGCCUAAAGCAGAUGCUUAACCGAUUGAGCUACCCAGGCACCCAAGACUCUUACAUUUUAAUAGCUAAGUAUUCAUUAUAUUUCCUAUGCAUAUGAUCAUAUUUCUUUUUUUACAGAUUUUAUUUAUUCAUGAGAGACACAGAGAGCCAGAGAGCCACCCAGGUGUCUCUAUGACCAUAUUUCUAAUAAUAGUUUUGUUCCCUUGUAAUGAUUAUAAUGAAUUUCCAUCAUAUACCUCAUUUAAUUGGCCAGGUUUCCAUUAAAAUGUGAAAUCAUAAUGGUGAGAGCAAACAUUCUUGCCUUUCUUCUGAUUCUGAUAGGAAAGUGUCCAGUGUUUGACUCUUAGGGUCUGACUUAUUGAGACAAAUUAUCUUUGCCAUGUUGAGAAGAGCAUUUCCUGUCUCUACUUUUCUUUGAGUUUUUAUUCUGAAGAUGUGCUGCAUUCUAAUAAGUGCCUAUUUGCUGCCUGCUGAAAUGAUUGCACAUCUAUAUUUGAUGUACUUUGUUAAUUGCUUUCCUGAUAUUAAAAUACUUCAGCAUUCUGGAGCUCCUGGGUGGCUCAGUUGGUUAAGCAUCUGGGUCUUGAUCUCAGUUCAGGUCUUGAUCUCAGAGUUGUGAGUUCAAGCCUCGAGUUGGGCUCCAUGCUGGGUGUGGAGCCUACUUAAAAAAAAAAGAUUUCGGCAUUCCUUAAUAACCCAAGUUGAUUCUGAUGGAGGAUUUUUUUAAUAUACAGUUUCAUUCAAUUGGUUGCUACUUUAUUUAGCAUCUUGAAGUUUGUUUCAUAAUGGGUUUGGUUUAUAGCUCUUUUUUGUUGGUACUAUCUUUGUGAGAUUUUAGUAUCAAGCUGAUCCUUACUUGCAGUGACCAUUUAAAUUUUUAUUUUUACUAUUUAGGCAUAGUUUAUAUUGCAUGAGGAUUAUCUGUUCCUUGAAAAUUUCAACUGACUUGAUAACAAAACUGUCUGUGUGAACAUCUCUUCAGGAGGUGAUGCUUUAGUAAUUUCCGCAGUUUCUUUGGUGGGUUUGUUUUCCAGAUCAGGUUUUGUGCUCCUGGAGUCCCUUCUGCAGUGGUUCCUCCAGACCCGGAUUUGGUUCAGAUUUGAGUCCAUCCCUUGAUGGAGGCUUCCAUCUCCUGAUCAGAGUAUGUCUUUAGCCAAAUUCUGCCUCUAGAAUCUUAGAAUUUGCCUGGAGUCCCAGAGGGCUGAGAGUUCACUCAGUUGUACAUCUGCUUUUGCUUUUGCACAUCAAUAUGCAUUCUCAUGUGUGCUAGGAUUUAAGUUGAGACUUUUGCUUUCACCAUAACAUGCAUCAGUGUGGGAGGCAGACCUGGAGCCUCAGGGACUCCCAGCCAUUGGAACUUGCUGGUAUUCACUGUGAAGGACCUGGAAAUUGUGAGCAGCCUGAUUGGUUCCGGUUGGUAUUGCCUCAGAAUUCCUCUCGCUGUAUGUGAAUGGCAUUGGGAGAGGGGUACUCUGGUUGCCUCAAAAGGGGGUUCCUCAUGCAAUGAAGAGAGAGCUGCCAUUGUCACGAGUCUUGAGUACCCGAGUAUAUUCAUUUCCUUGGAUUGCCAUCCAAAGUACCACAAACUCGGCGGCAUGAACAACAGAUAGUUAUCGUCUCAAGGUUCUGGAGGCUAGACAUCUGAAGUCAAGGUAUUGGCAGGACUGACUCCAUUUGAGGGCUGCAGAGGAGGCUGUGUUCCAGGCCUCUCUCCCAGCUUUUGGUUGUUUUGCUGGCGAUCUUUGGCUCAGAGCUGGAUCACUUCAUAACUUAAUCUUCACAUGACAUUUCCCUGUGUCUCUUCACUUCAUUUUCCUUCUGCGCAUGUCCAUCUGUGUCCAAAUUUCUCCUUUUAUAAGGACACCAGUCGUAUUGGAUUUGGGCCCAUCCUAAUGACUUCAUGUGAACUUGAUAAUCUCUGUAGGCCCUCUGCUUCCAAGUAAGGGCACAUUCUGAGGUACUAGGGCCUGGGAUUGCGACAUAUUCUUUUUUGGGGGUGGGGGACACCAUUCAACCCAUCACACUGAGUAAGACUGCCAGUAGAAGGUCAGAAGGGCAUCCUCACCAUCAUUUGGAUCCAUGACACUUUGUGUCAUGCGGCAAAUUUGAGUGGGUACUCCACCAGCUGUCUUUCUGAGUCCACUCCAUCAGUCUUCUUAGCAGCCCUGUCUCUGUGCUGGGAGAGAAAAGAACAAGUCGAGGAUGCAGGGCAUCCUCUAUGCAGUCUGCCAAGGGGGAGUUUCUGUGGGGUUAGAGCUUCUCUGUACACUUCUGGUGUCAUACCGAUGGUCCCCGUGUUUCCUCUUCAAGGAUCCCCAGCUGUCUUGAUUGCUCACAACUCUAUUAUCUUCUGAAGGCUCACAGCUUAUAAAAUAGCUGUCAUGUCCAAAGCUGUACAAUAAAGAACCCUACCCGACUCGCACAUUUUGCCUCCUCUCUCGCUAAGCUAAAUAAUGUGACAUUUCGAAUUUGAGAUUUUCAAGUGUAGCUUACAUUUUUGGCUUUUACUAAUUUUAUCAAGGUCUCUUGCUGGGAUGCUUGUCAGUUUCCAAAGGGCUCUGAUAUGAUCUCAUCUUAUUCUUGCAAUGAGUUGCUUUUCUACUCAUUUUUCAUGGCGAUAACUCACAGAAGUUACUGGAGGCACAGGGGUGACUUGGCCAAUGCCACACAGAUAGCAGUAGAGCCAGCACUGUGAUUCUCAGCCCGGCUCCUUUCCAUUAGGUCAUUCUGCUCUCCUGCUACCUCACCGUCAGGCCAAGUCUCGGCUCUCACUCAAGAGCUCGAAACACCACCACCUCCUCCCUGGAGCCCUCUCGGGUUAAAUAGGUGGGAAUAACCAACAGCUUUUCAUUAUAUUACUCAUCUGCAUAGAUGAGGGGCUGGCAAACAGCUAACUCCACAACCUGCUUUUUUGUAGUCUAAGAAUGGUUUUUACAUUUUUAAAGGGUUGUCAAAAAAA